rnacentral:tRNA from 1 species
AUUAAGUGGUCGAAAAUAAAGGCAAAAGAUUGUAAUUCUUUCUAUGGUUUCCAUACCCUUAUUC